UGUGCUUGCGCUAAGGAUGGUGUACACUUGAAUAAAACAAAUUAAAUACUUAUUGUAUUAGGAAGUUAAACGAAUGUGCCAACCCAUCAUAUGUAAUAACCACUGUUAGUUGAUAAUAGAGGUUUGAUCGAGUGCGUUGAAGAUGAAGCGGUGGCCCCUGAUCGUAAGUGCCUUACUAGUGCUAGGGUCAAUAAGAUGUGAUGAAGAAGAGUCAAAUGGGAAUGCUGAGGUUUCUGAAGUAGGUAUAGAAG